UCCGCUGCCGCCGAGAUGCGCUAUGUUGCCUCUUACCUGCUGGCUGCCCUCGGGGGCAAUACCUCCCCCAGCACCAAGGACAUCAAGAAAAUCCUGGACAGCGUGGGCAUCGAGGCGGACGACGACCGGCUCAACAAGGUCAUUAGUGAGCUGAACGGAAAAAACAUUGAAGCUGUCAUCGCGCAGGGCAUUGGCAAGCGGGCCAGUGUUCCUGCCGGUGGGGCUGCAGUCGUCUCCGCUGCCCCAGGAGCUGCAGCUCCUGCUGCUGGUUCUGCCCUGGCUGCAGCAGAGGAGAAGAAAGACGAAAAGAAGGAGGAGUCGGUUGACGACAUGGGAUUUGGCUUGCUUGAUUAGAGUCCUGUGCCCCUG